rnacentral:rRNA from 1 species
UACAGAGGUCUCAAGCGUUGUUCGGAUUCAUUGGGCGUAAAGGGUGCGUAGGCGGCGCGGUAAGUCGGGUGUGAAAUCUCGGGGCUUAACUCCGAAACUGCAUUCGAUACUGCGGUGCUUGAGGACUGGAGAGGAGACUGGAAUUCAUGGUGUAGCGGUGAAAUGCGCAGAUAUCAGGAGGAACACCGGUGGCGAAGGCGGCAUCCUGGACCGACACUGACGCUGAGGAGCGAAAGCCAGGGGAGCAAACGGG